GUAGAGCUAUGCUGGAAUAUUUAUCCAUCGACUGCUUAUUCAUCGGCUCUGCUGUUGGGUCUCCAUUUAAUAAUGCUAUGGGGGCUAUGGUCUGCUCCGCACCAUUAUCCAUACAAAGAGGAGAAUGCAUCAACGCCAGAGAAAGACAAAUGAAGAGAUGUUUAAUUUGUUAGAAAGCCUUUCCCAUAUUUUGCAGUUAGAUUAACACUUCCCUGAUACUUUUACAUAGAGCUGAGUGAACCAGUGUUAUUGGUUUGCUGUUAGGAGUGAUUUUCUUUGGAAAUAGGUUUGUACUGCGUCACGUCUUUCAGGAAGUUCAUAGCCUCGGCAAUUUCGUAACGGACUUGAUAAAGAUCCUACGAAGAAGUGGAGCGUUGGCCAGUACAAACCUCACCAAGUCUAGCUCAACCUUCAUACCAAGACUACCAUUAAUGUUGAACUCUCGAAGAUGCUGUAGAGAAGCUACUCCACGGCAGUCCUCUGCUUCCAACAACUUGUUUAGGCUGCCCACUGAUUCGGCGUGAUUUAGAUUGGACCCCAGAUACAAAAACAUUCCACAAGGUUGUUAUAUAAAGUUAGCUGGCAAAAGAGGAAUAGUAUGUAAUCAAAUGUACUUUCCAAUUGAUAUCCAAAUGAUCAAGUAUAUACAUAUAAGCUUUUCAACUUACUAGUAGCAAUUCACUGCCAAGAUUCAGCUACUCAAGCGAAGGAAGAGAAGCAAAUAGAGCGACCAUAUCCAGUUUACGAUUUGAUUCACUCUGCAAUGUCUUAAAAUCUAC
rnacentral:lncRNA from 1 species